rnacentral:rRNA from 1 species
CCUACGGGUGGCAGCAAUGAGGAAUAUUGGUCAAUGGACGAGAGUCUGAACCAGCCAAGUAGCGUGAAGGAUGACUGCCCUAUGGGUUGUAAACUUCUUUUAUAUUGGAAUAACAUGUUCCACGUGUGUGAUUUUGUAUGUACCAUAUGAAUAAGGAUCGGCUAACUCCGUGCCAGCAGCCGCGGUAAUACGGAGGAUCCGAGCGUUAUCCGGAUUUAUUGGGUUUAAAGGGAGCGUAGGUGGAUUGUUAAGUCAGUUGUGAAAGUUUGCGGCUCAACCGUAGAAUUGCAUUUGAUACUGGCAGUCUUGAGUACAGUAGAGGUGGGCGGAAUUCGGGGUGUAGCGGUGAAAUGCUUAGAUAUCACGAAGAACUCCGAUUGCGAAGGCAGCCUACUAAACUGCCACUGACAUUGAUGCUCGAAAGUGUGGGUAUCAAACAGGAUUAGAUACCCCAGUAGUC